rnacentral:rRNA from 1 species
AAUAGUGGACAAUUGGAGCAACACUGAGCCAUCCUUGCCGCGUGUGUGAAGAAGUACUUCGGAUUGUAAAGUACGUUAAGUUGGUUAGAAGGGCUUUAGGCUAAUAAACUGAUGUUUUCACGUUACAAACAUAUUAAGCACCAUCUAAUUCUGUGACAGCAGUCGCGGUAAUACAGAGGGUGCAAGCUUUAAUCGGAAUUACUGUGCGUAAAGCGCGCGUAGGUGGUUCAGUAAGAUGGGUGUGAAAUCCCCGGGCGUAACCUGGGAACUGCUUUCAUAACUGCUGAGCUAGAGUACGGUAGAGGGUAGUGGAAUUUCCUGUGUAGCGGUGAAAUGCGUAGAUAUAGGAAGGAACACCAGUGGCGAAGGCGACUACCUGGACUGAUACUGACACUGAGGUGCGAAAGCGUGGGGAGCAAAC